rnacentral:rRNA from 1 species
UACGGAGGGAGCUAGCGUUGUUCGGAAUUACUGGGCGUAAAGCGCACGUAGGCGGCUUCGUAAGUUAGAGGUGAAAGCCCGGGGCUCAACUCCGGAACUGCCUUUAAGACUGCAUCGCUUGAAUCCGGGAGAGGUGAGUGGAAUUCCGAGUGUAGAGGUGAAAUUCGUAGAUAUUAGGAAGAACACCAGUGGCGAAGGCGGCCCACUGGUCCGGUACUGACGCUGAGGUGCGAAAGCGUGGGGAGCAAACAGG